GAUGAAGAACGUAGCGAAAUGCGAUAAGUAAUGUGAAUUGCAGAAUUCAGUGAAUCAUCGAAUCUUUGAACGCACAUUGCGCCCGCCAGUAUUCUGGCGGGCAUGCCUGUUCGAGCGUCAUUUCAACCAUCAAGCCCCAGGCUUGUGUUGGAGCCCUGCGGCUGCCGCAGCCUCCCAAAACCAGUGGCGGGCUCGCUAUCACACCGAGUGCAGUAGUUUACUCUUCGCUCAGGGCGUGUGGCGGGUGCUAGCCGUAAAACCCCCAACUUCUCAAGGUUGACCUCGGAUCAGGUAGGAAUACCCGCUGAACUUAAGCAUAUAAUAAGCGGAGGA
rnacentral:misc_RNA from 1 species